CCUCCGUUAGCUCACUUGGGAGAGCAGCCGACUUUUAAUCGGCGGGUACGGGGAUCGAAACCUCGACGGAGCACCA
rnacentral:tRNA from 1 species